UAUCGGAUAAAAGCUACCCUGGGGAUAACAGGCUGGUUGCGCCUAAGCGUCCAUAGCGACGGCGCAGUUCGGCACCUCGAUGUCGGCUCAACUUAUCCCGGGGGUGAAGAAGCUCCCAAGGGUAUGGCUGUUCGCCAUUUAAAAAGUUACGCGAGCUGGGUUCAGACCGUCGUGAGACAGGUUGGACUCCUAUCUACUGCAGGCGUUUGGUUUCAGAGGGGAUUUGCUCCUAGUACGAGAGGACCGGAGUGAACCGACCGCUGGUGUGCCUGCUCUACUGCCAAGUGGACCGCAGGGUAGCUAAGUCGGGAAUGGAUAAAUUCUGAAAGCAUCUAAGAAUGAAGCCAACCCCAAGAUUAGAAACUGUUAAGGGCCCUGGGAGAUUACCAGGUUGAUAGGCGUCAGGUGUAAGACGAGCAAUCGUUUGAGCCGAGACGUACUAAUUGCCCGAUUCUAUUAGGAAA
rfam:Candidatus Zambryskibacteria bacterium RIFCSPHIGHO2_02_FTLL_43_37 rifcsphigho2_02_scaffold_21785, whole genome shotgun sequence.